AAAAAUUAAAUGAAAUUAAUAUAAAACUAUUAAAAAAAACCACUGGUCCUGUUUGUUUUCCCUCGUACACUAUUCUACAUAAUACCUCAAUCCAUCAUUGUCACCUUUCUUUAAAUGGAAUUAAUAUAAAACUAUAAAAUAAAAAUAAAAAAACAACUGGUCCUCUUUGUUUUCCCUCAUACACUAUCUCACAUAACACCUCAAUACAUCUUUAUCCCCUUUCACUACAUCACGUCUCCUCAACUAGAACCAUCACCCAUCACUCAACCUAAGCAAC
rnacentral:lncRNA from 1 species